rnacentral:rRNA from 2 species
CAGUGAUAAACUGGAGGAAGGUGGGGAUGACGUCAAGUCAUCAUGGCCCUUACGACCAGGGCUACACACGUGCUACAAUGGCGCAUACAAAGAGAAGCGACCUCGCGAGAGCAAGCGGACCUCAUAAAGUGCGUCGUAGUCCGGAUUGGAGUCUGCAACUCGACUCCAUGAAGUCGGAAUCGCUAGUAAUCGUGGAUCAGAAUGCCACGGUGAAUACGUUCCCGGGCCUUGUACACACCGCCCGUCACACCAUGGGAGUGGGUUGCAAAAGAAGUAGGUAGCUUAACCUUCGGGAGGGCGCUUACCACUUUGUGAUUCAUGACUGGGGUGAAGUCGUAACAAGGUAACCGUAGGGGAAC